GACAUCCGUUGGUGGUCUAGACUGUAUUCCCAGUUCUGAAAUUACUGUCGAGUGAUUUUUAUUCAAAUUAACUCGUUUCUCUCACACUUUUUACCUUCAUCAAGUCUAUGGGCAGCUCUUAAAAAGCGUUUGGUGUCUGAAUGCAAACAACAGAAGCCCAGGAGGAGCGGCUGGAGCGGCAGGAGGUUGCGCUGCUGUUCAGAGGGACCACGCCAGGCUGGGAAACGGGCACGGAGGCACCUCGGGGAGAUAACGGAGGGGAUCUUCUUUGGCCGUUUGCGAUCCUCAUGCUUGACUAUGAAGCGAACACGGGAGAAGUGCGAUCAGAUGAACAAGCCCUCAGAAAACAAGGCCAGGGUGAUCCAUCUCGCCUCCCUCGCUUUGCGGCACGUAAAUCACUGCGGCCAUUGGACGGGACGCGCUGCUGCGGCGUUCGGAGUCACGUCUGCCACCACCAUCUGCGAACGUAUGAACAGUCCUCUAAGAUGUACAACUUCACCUGCCCAUAUAUAUAAAACCGUGUCCCCUUUGAGGGCAUAUUGCUCUGCGCUGAGUUAGAUAUUUAUUAUUUAGGUGCAUAAAUGUGAACUAAUGACCGUGAACUUGGUGUAGAGUCGGUGGGAAUAAAUAGGCUCCUGCUGCUGUUCCCGUAGUCAGGCAGCCAGCUCAGCUGGGUCUAAACAAGUUCCCUUUGAAGACACGACCGACUCCAGAGCAGCAAGUGGAAACGUAGGCAUGUUCCUGUUGGAUGUCUAAAAUGAGAGGAGAUUCAUUUUCAUUAUUUUCGAAAUGCUUUGCUUGGACUUCACUUGUGAUGUUCUACCAGAGCUUUUCAAGGAGAGUGAAAACCCACCCAAGGGCUGCGACAUCUGCUAAAGGGUGGGUGAAUAAUGAUUUCAUUACCGCCAGUGCACAGUCUGUACACGCGAAGGCAGCACUGGGAGGAGGUUGCCAGCUGCCUACUUCUGCACCCCAAUUAAUAAAGGGUAAAUGAUACUGAGACAGAUGCUGCCGUUCCGUGGGUUAGUCCUUGGAAGCUGACGUUCCUUGUUUCUUUGUCAGUGGCUCGGGGACCCAGCCCCGUCUGUCAGCAGUGACUGUCCCAGAAGAUAAUCCAACUGUUGCUGCAUAGACUCCUGAACUUUUAAAGGUGCACAAACAUGUUGUGCCCUCAACAAGCACAUCUAUCACUGCAGUUACAGCACAGUGUGACGUGAUUCAUGUCAGUUCUCAUUAAUUUGAACAAAAUUAAGCUUUGAAAACAUUAGGGAAAAAUAUUAAUCAAAUAAUCAUUUGAAAAUGUGCCGCAAAAUAAAUCUAAAGCAUUUUUCUGACUAAUGUUUGACCAGUUUGAGUGAUAACCUGCAAAUUUGCAGAUCGCAAUAAUGAUUAGCGACUCUAGGAAGAGGCGGUGAGCGCAAUCAGCGUGGCCAAGGGGCAGCAGCAGUAACGAGGGCUCGUGUGUCCCUGGCGUGUCUGGUUUGCGGAUCCCCCGGCACACGCAGUGGCAUUAACUGCUGGGACAGCAGGCACAGACCUGGGGGUGACCGAGAUGGGGAAGGACCAGCCUGCUUACCUGAGGUGGUGGACUCCAUACGCGUGAAGGUCUUGAGAUGCCAUGUAUCAGCUCUGCUCUUACCUGAGCUCAAAGCAUAGGUGAUCACCGUGUUCGGUGGAAAGAGAAGGAGGGAUCUCUGGAGAGAGGGUUCAUCUGAACCACAGCGAGAGACGGCUCUGGGCUUAGACAUGGCAGAGAGCAGAGAAAGGGAGCGAGUGUCAUUGCCUGUGUCCACGUGGGGCAGUGGAACAUAGAAUCAGAGACUUGUUUUGGUUGAAAAAGCCCCUCAAGAUCAUCGAGUCCAACCAUAACCCAGCCCGGCACUGCCCCAUGUCCUGAGAACCUCAUCUGCAUGUCCAGCCCUCCAGGGAUGGUGACUCCAGCACUGCCCUGGGCAGCCUGUUCCAGUGCGUUACAAAAGCAAACGGCCACCACAGCAAUGGUGGAGAAAUCUGGGGUGGGGGAAUACCCUCCUGUCAUUCGGCCUCUCCCAUGGAGUUGCUUAUUGUUGAGGUUAACGGACACUCAGGAACAAUACAGGUUGCAACGGCUGCUGGAUGUAUUGUGUCAAAGCGAGACACCUUCCUUUAUUAACUCUCAGAUAAUCUCUGACUUUACCCUUCAGAGACAUGUAUUAAUAUUCUACUUGGAAAGACAGAAAGAAAAUCAAUAGACCGGAAAGCUCAGCGUGCUGUUUGUGGCAGCCAGGAAGGAUUCAUUUGCCUUAUGACGCUCUGUUGUGACAGAUGGUUACUUUGUGCUGUUCGGAGGAGGCCCAUCCAGCAAAAUUAAGAUCUUUAUUGGGACAAGUCAUGACAGAUUUUAUGAGGGCAGCAGUUCUAGCCGAGGCACCCAGCGCAGAGAUGCGGCGUUUGCAGCACCCUGCUCUCGCCGUGGCGCGCCGCGGCAGCUUGUGGCAUGUUCAUCUGCUUGGCCGCUCUUGGCUUGUGCCCCAGGCCGGUGAGCGGUGGUCGCGUUGGCAAUCGCAGCAGUUGAUCAAAUCCAAUUCACUUGAUGAGCUACCACUGCUCCGCCAGACCACACGGAGUGACUGUCUUCAUACUGCAAAGUAAAACCCAUUGAUUUAACCCACUGCUCGUUAGACCAGGCUGACUUGAUUGCCUGUUGCCGUCCGUACUCUCAGUGUACAGCGUAUUGGUUUUGGUUUAACGCGUGACCUGAGCUGUCCCUUUGUAGCGAAGCCGAGGACCAGCAUCCUUCUCUGGCCCCUCCGUCUGUUGUUUUACUGCUCCGUACAUAGCACCACAAGUAAAACUUGUAAAAAGACGGGUGAGGUGCAGAGUGUUUCUUCUUAUAACAUGAAUUUGAAAGCUGAGCAACACGCUGUUCUCUGUACGUCCAACAUCGGUGCACAGCAAAUUUUAAACCACUUCCACUUUCUGCAGCCCCUCCUGUUCAUUAAGAACAUUCCAUCCACAUUGUGCCUGAAUUCUAACCAGUGUAAUUAGCUUCUGCCUCCUCCUCGCAGAGAAUAAAGCAGCCUCUUUGGUCUUGAUCUAAAUUCCGAGGUGAGGAUUUGCUGGGUAUUUAAUAAAAAUAGCUUUUCUGAGGCAGCCCUGUUUGAACACUAAAGAGGUCAUCCAGUCAUCUAAGCUAAUCUAAUCUAACCUAGUCUAAUCUAGCCUAAUCUGCCUACAUCUCUUCCUUCAAACCUGCUUUUUUUGCUUAGUUUGCCUGUUAAAAUCAAUGAGCCUUCCCAACUGAAACACUACAGAAAAUCCUUGCCGAGGAAGUAUUUCUGUUUCCGAGGCGCAGAUGACACAAAGCGAGCACCGGAAGGCUCUGCUCUCAUUCGGCUUUUCCUGUCCCCACCUGCUGGCAGGGCAAAUCAUUCUCAAAAGCAAAUCCUGUUACAUUUGAGAAAUACAGUUGCUUAACAACUGGAGGUGCCAUUUCAACCUGUGCGCUGCAGCCGUGGUGAUGGAUGGCGUACACCGGCACUUAUUGACCACAACAGGAGACCAUGCCCCGAGAAUACCAAGUGUUAUUGAUUUGUUUUCUUGUAGAUGGUGUUUUCCCCUGCAAGCUGCCGCAUGAUCAUGAUUUGUUUUCAUCUCCAACUUUUAUAUAUCUAUUGAUUUAGGAUGGAGGAAGCAAAAAGGAGAAUUGAAGUUGGGUCUUCAGAUCUGUCCUUUGUUGUGUUUGCCAAGAACUCGAGAGCUUUGGGAAAGAGUAUAAAUUCAUAACCACAGUUAUUUGGGUGUCGUUCCUAAUGUACAGUGGAAAAUGUUCUCAAGCAAUUAAUUAAAGUUGUUUUGUCUACGACAAGGAAGGGAACACGUAAUAUCCUUUGCCAACCAGACAUUUAGUUAAGGUCACCUUACCCGCUUGCAAAUCCAGAGAGCAGCACGAGCCUCCCAAACCGGCUUCUUUAAAGUCCCCCGUUCUCUAGGAGCUAUAUGGCCACUCAGAAACACACAAUAUGAACUUAGAACAAAAAUAUAUAUAGUAAAAAAGUCUUAUAAUUAGAUCCUAAUCAAAGCCAUGGUGCUCCUGGGAAGGUAGUUUAUUUAUUCAGGUCGAUGCACAUAAGCCAAUGUAUCGAUCCAGUAUUAAAAGUUUCACUUGCUGUGCUAUUUCUGCUAUAGAUGGCUGGAAAAGAAAGCUGUCUCUUAGUUUGGGACGGAGCAAAAACCAAAAGGCACAGCUCCCAUUUUUACCACCCAGGGGAGAUGGACGUGCCGCUCCUGUUAAGGCAGAUAGGACGGUGAUGUCCCACAGCCCCGUUCCCUCCGCAGGCCUUGCGAAUGGAGGUGUCACCUCUUGUCUCCUGCGUCUGGGGGCGGUGACUGUGCCACCGCCCUGCCCAGUGGCCCACGGCGCUUUGUGCUGCCGGCGUCUGUGGCAGAUCAGCCUCCCGUCGCGUCCGCGGGCGGGAUGAACGGCGCUGGGCCCUGGCACCGCUCCGUGUGCAACCGUGACCUUCUGCUCUUGGCUCCGUUGUGAUGAGACGCUGAGAACGUUGCUACAGCUGCGACUGGAGAUGAACGCUUGCGCUUUUUCAGCCAGAGGUCCCAGGUUUGAUUCGAGCAGCCAAAAGGCAGCUGAGGGACAGCGUGUAACAUUUUCAGCGAGUUCCGAGAUCCUCUGAUGGAAGGUGUUAUUUGAGCAUAAAGCUGCCUUAUUAUCUUCUGCACGGUGGAGAAGCAGGUGCACAAACCUCCAUCCAAAAAAUGUUUGCAUGUAAUUGGCAUCACCUGUGGAGACAAAACCGCUCAUUUUGGAGGUGGGAACAAAGGCGAUGGAAAGUGCCUUUCUGCUCACAAAGCACCUCGGUGCGUCUCUGCGAGGAAAGAUCAUCCUCAACUAUCCAAAUGGCUACUUGGCUAAUACACCACACACCGUCCAGCAAUCAGCACAGACUGUGCUUUUCAUCAUUAUGCUUGAUGCAAAAAACCCAACAACUGAGACAGUAUUCUAUUUCAGUUAAAACUCCAUGAAAAUUUUGGCUGUGCUCUUUAAUGUGAUAAUGUUAAUUAAACUGUGCUCUUAUGUUCUGAAGUCUUAUAAAAUGUCUCGGAAAAGGAUAAAAAAUAAUAGUAGAAAUAAAAUUGGGCUAUUUAUCUACCAGGA